UAGUUGCAAGGUAUAGACCCGAAACCCGGUGAUCUAGCCAUGGGCAGGUUGAAGGUUGGGUAACACUAACUGGAGGACCGAACCGACUAAUGUUGAAAAAUUAGCGGAUGACUUGUGGCUGGGGGUGAAAGGCCAAUCAAACCGGGAGAUAGCUGGUUCUCCCCGAAAUCUAUUUAGGUAGAGCCUUGAGGUGACACCUUUGGGGGUAGAGCACUGUUUCGGCUAGGGGUCCAUCCCGGAUUACCAACCCGAUGCAAACUACGAAUACCAAAGAGUGAUACUCAGGAGACACACGGCGGGUGCUAACGUCCGUCGUGGAGAGGGAAACAACCCAGACCGCCAGCUAAGGUCCCCAAGUCUAUAUUAAGUGGGAAACGAAGUGGGAAGGCUUAGACAGCUAGGAUGUUGGCUUAGAAGCAGCCAUCAUUUAAAGAAAGCGUAAUAGCUCACUAGUCGAGUCGGCCUGCGCGGAAGAUGUAACGGGGCUGAAAUAUAGCACCGAAGCUGCGGCAUCAGGCGUAUCACUAAUACGCCUUACGAUUAACAAGCUAGAAUGGCGCGAAGCGGCAUGAAAGGUUGUUCAAGCAACCCGAACGUUGAGUCGGGGUAUUUUUGAAGUAAGGAUUAUUAGUGAUACGCCUGUUGGGUAGGGGAGCGUUGUGUAAGCGGAUGAAGGUUAAUCGAGAGGUUAGCUGGACGUAUCACAAGUGCGAAUGCUGACAUAAGUAACGAUAAAACGGGUGAAAAACCCGUUCGCCGGAAGACCAAGGGUUCCUGUCCAACGUUAAUCGGGGCAGGGUGAGUCGGCUCCUAAGGCGAGGCUGAAAAGCGUAGUCGAUGGGAAACAGGUUAAUAUUCCUGUACUUGGUAAAGCUGCGAUGUGGGGACGGAGUAGGUUAGGUUAUCGCACUGUUGGAUAUGUGCGUUUAAGUUGGUAGGUGGGAAGUUUA
rnacentral:rRNA from 1 species